UAACGAAUAUUGCCCAAUGGGCGCAAGCCUGAGGCAGCGACGCCGCGUGCGGGAGGAAGCCCUUCGGGGUGUAAACCGCUGUCAGGGAUUACCAAGCAAAGUGGGCGAAUAGCCCAUUGCGUUGAGGAGUCCCAGAGGAAGUCACGGCUAACUUCGUGCCAGCAGCCGCGGUAAGACGAAGGUGGCAAGCGUUGUUCGGAAUCACUGGGCUUAAAGAGCACGUAGGUGGAUUGGCAAGCGUCCUGUGAAAGCCCCCGGCUCAACCGGGGAAUUGCUCGGCGAACUGCUAGUCUUGAGGCAGGUAGGGGCGAGUGGAACUCUUGGUGGAGCGGUGGAAUGCGUAGAUAUCAAGAGGAACGCCGGAGGUGAAGACGACUCGCUGGGCCUGUCCUGACACUGAGGUGCGAAAGCCAGGGGAGCAAACG
rnacentral:rRNA from 1 species